GGUGAAGCCAAGCUUGCUUGGUGGAUCAGUGGCGAACGGGUGAGUAACACGUGAGCAACCUGCCCUGAACUCUGGGAUAAGCGCUGGAAACGGCGUCUAAUACUGGAUAUGAGCUGCGGAGGCAUCUUCGUGGUUGGAAAGAUUUUUCGGUUUGGGAUGGGCUCGCGGCCUAUCAGCUUGUUGGUGAGGUAAUGGCUCACCAAGGCGUCGACGGGUAGCCGGCCUGAGAGGGUGACCGGCCACACUGGGACUGAGACACGGCCCAGACUCCUACGGGAGGCAGCAGUGGGGAAUAUUGCACAAUGGGCGGAAGCCUGAUGCAGCAACGCCGCGUGAGGGAUGACGGCCUUCGGGUUGUAAACCUCUUUUAGCAGGGAAGAAGCGAAAGUGACGGUACCUGCAGAAAAAGCGCCGGCUAACUACGUGCCAGCAGCCGCGGUAAUACGUAGGGCGCAAGCGUUAUCCGGAAUUAUUGGGCGUAAAGAGCUCGUAGGCGGUUUGUCGCGUCUGCUGUGAAAACCCGAGGCUCAACCUCGGGCCUGCAGUGGGUACGGGCAGACUAGAGUGCGGUAGGGGAGAUUGGAAUUCCUGGUGUAGCGGUGGAAUGCGCAGAUAUCAGGAGGAACACCGAUGGCGAAGGCAGAUCUCUGGGCCGUAACUGACGCUGAGGAGCGAAAGGGUGGGGAGCAAACAGGCUUAGAUACCCUGGUAGUCCACCCCGUAAACGUUGGGAACUAGUUGUGGGGUCCAUUCCACGGAUUCCGUGACGCAGCUAACGCAUUAAGUUCCCCGCCUGGGGAGUACGGCCGCAAGGCUAAAACUCAAAGGAAUUGACGGGGACCCGCACAAGCGGCGGAGCAUGCGGAUUAAUUCGAUGCAACGCGAAGAACCUUACCAAGGCUUGACAUACACGAGAACGCUGCAGAAAUGUAGAACUCUUUGGACACUCGUGAACAGGUGGUGCAUGGUUGUCGUCAGCUCGUGUCGUGAGAUGUUGGGUUAAGUCCCGCAACGAGCGCAACCCUCGUUCUAUGUUGCCAGCACGUAAUGGUGGGAACUCAUGGGAUACUGCCGGGGUCAACUCGGAGGAAGGUGGGGAUGACGUCAAAUCAUCAUGCCCCUUAUGUCUUGGGCUUCACGCAUGCUACAAUGGCCGGUACAAAGGGCUGCAAUACCGCGAGGUGGAGCGAAUCCCAAAAAGCCGGUCCCAGUUCGGAUUGAGGUCUGCAACUCGACCUCAUGAAGUCGGAGUCGCUAGUAAUCGCAGAUCAGCAACGCUGCGGUGAAUACGUUCCCGGGUCUUGUACACACCGCCCGUCAAGUCAUGAAAGUCGGUAACACCUGAAGCCGGUGGCCC
rnacentral:rRNA from 1 species